AGAGGGUUCGCGCCGCGUCUGUGGUCAUCUCGAACGCCGGAACGCGUGCAGUCAGUCCGAACUCGGUGGACCGAUCGGUCGCGUCGUCGUUGUUCGUCGUUCUCUCCGUCGUUGUCGCCGCUCCCGUCGCCGUCGUCACGCGUUAUCGAAUAAAAAUUAAUAACAAUACUAUCGUUAUUAUUAGCGUGUUACGAGUGUCCAAUCG